rnacentral:piRNA from 1 species
UAGAGUUCUGAAAUUGAAGGGGGAGACA